rnacentral:misc_RNA from 1 species
UACUGGGUCAGAAUUUUUGAAAUACCCACGCCGUUUUACAAAGAGCAAGGAUUUGGAAUGGGGGAUAUCUUCGGUAAAUGGGCUGCUCUUAGAGCUUGACUACAGUGUACCAUUCCAGAGUGAGACGUUUUGUUUCAUUGUGUUGAUGUUAGCCGAAGAUAUGACUUUCAUGGGGUAUCAAGCAUAUAGGGCUAAGAAAUUCAGUGAAACACAUCUGUUGCAACUAUAACAAUCGAAAUGUGUGAAAACUUUUCAGACAAUUGUGAAACUGUGACUACUGGGAUGCUGUGAAGUCUUGAUAUCUAAUGACAAUGGAUUAUACUGUGGAUUUAUAUCGUUCAUUUUGUGAAGUAUAGUUCUGUGAUAAUUCAGUUGGAAAAUUUUAAAUGAUGUUGUUCUGUUGUGUAUGAGCAUGUUUAAGGCUCAUGUCUUUUAUAUAAAACAUUUAAAACUGU